rnacentral:snoRNA from 1 species
ACGACCUUACUUGAACAGGAUCUGUUCUAUAGGCUCGUACCUCUGUAUCCUUGAGUUCUAAGGAGACAGGAAACUAAGCCUGGUGGAUGAGUUGUGGUCAGGGGGCUAGAGCGUGAUUAACAGCACUGUGCCUUCGUUGGCUGGGACCGUAGAGGAUCGUUCCUGGCCGUGGAACCACGGUUGGGAUGGCCCCUUGGCUGUCUGACAGGCU